ensembl:rRNA 5S_rRNA 5S ribosomal RNA
AUCUAUGGCCAUACCACCCUGAAUGCUCCCGAUCUCAUCUGAUCUUGGAAGCUAAGCAGGGCUGGGUCUUAUUAGUACUUGGAUGGGAGAAACAGGAAUGUCUUUUCAGAUUCAGGGAAUAUGACAAUCAUGGGGG